CCCCCUGUGUGAACCUGCCAGGAGAGGUGCAAAUCAAACACACACACACACACAUGAUAUGAACAUGAAGCCAUCAAAAGAAAACCCGUUUACUUUGGGACUUGAAUAACCCGAAAACGCACAGGCAGAAUUUCUGGUCGGGGGGACCAGAAGGAACAAACCAACACGUGAAAACAACAACAACAACGGGUAAGAGAUCAAGUUUGACGGAGCAGAGAAUCCACUGAGUUCCAGUUUAGGAGGCACACGGGCCAAUUGCACAUUCCUUGGACAAUAGUUGAACUGGCCAUUAAAAACUCCACCGGAUGGGCCCGGCACAGCGGCAACACUCACCGCAGAAGUUGGGCCACAGCCCGCACGUGCGUUCUAACAGCCUCUGCGGACGACUCCAGAAGAAGCAGGUCGUCGGCCUUGGGGGCGGCCGUAAUUCCGUGGGCACUCUGUGACAUAGCGAGUCGGAAGGAUCGGCCUUGAUUUAGGUGGCCUUUUCUUUACGGUGCGAGACUCUCUCUAAACGUGG